rnacentral:rRNA from 1 species
UAAUACGGAGGAUCCAAGCGUUAUCCGGAUUUAUUGGGUUUAAAGGGUGCGUAGGCGGCCUGUUAAGUCAGGGGUGAAAGACGGUAGCUCAACUAUCGCAGUGCCUUUGAUACUGACGGGCUUGAAUGUACUUGAGGUAGGCGGAAUGUGACAAGUAGCGGUGAAAUGCAUAGAUAUGUCACAGAACACCAAUUGCGAAGGCAGCUUACUAAAGUAUGAUUGACGCUGAGGCACGAAAGCGUGGGGAUCAAACAGGAUUAGAUACCCUGGUAGUCCACGCCCUAAACGAUGAAUACUCGAUGUUGGCGAUAUACAGUCAGCGUCAAAGCGAAAGCGUUAAGUAUUCCACCUGGGGAGUACGCCCGCAAGGGUG